rnacentral:lncRNA from 1 species
GUUGACCGUUUCGAUCGAGCCCUUAACGUUGUCGGAUCCAGUUGAAUUUUUUACCAUAGACAUCUUUCGUCAUAAUGAUCAUAUUUGACGGUCGAAUUUUGGUUUGUGAAUUUUAGUCAUUGGAAUCACAACGUGUCUACUAAUGUUGUAUAACUUGUUUAGUAGGUUAUACAACUUUGUAAACCAACUCUACAUAGGAAGCAAAAUUAUCAAAAAUCUCGUGAAAUAAGAUGUGUUCAUAAUGGUUAAAUACGGCUAUGGUUCAAAAAUCACGUAAAUCGGGUAACGUCUCGGUGCCAAUAGUACCGGUCAACCCUAUUUACCGUUAUUAUUCCUUAUGGGGAGCCCUAUCGUCAGAAGGUAAAUGUCUCAAAAAUUUUAUAUAGGCGGUUGCGUCUCAUCUACAUGAGAGUUUUUCGUGUGGAAAGUUUGACCAAACUAUGUAAUAUAGAGGGAGAUACGAGCGUUUUCGUGAAUUUAUAGACUUAGCCGACGAAAUAUUAAAAAAGUCAUCGGCUAAGGUCAAAAAUUGUUUGGCGGUAAACCAAAUUUGGAGGAAAAUUUUCAAAUGACUUUAGCUGACGGAAAUAUAUGAAAAGUCGUCGGCUAAAGUCGAAAAAAAAUUUGGCGGCAAACCAAAUUUGGGAGAAAAUUUUCAAAAUUUUCAAAGGACUUUAGCCGAUGAGUUUCAUUACUUUAGCCAACGAAUUUCACAGGUUUCGUCGGCUAAAGUCUGUUUCCGCCAAAAAUUUUGGAAAAUUUCAAACUUCCUUUUAAAUUUUUAGCUCUCUCUUUAACCUACUCCCCUCAAACAUCUUAUCUUCUUCUUUCUCUCAUCAAGAACUUCACCCAAUAACUUUUUCUUUCUCUUCCCCACCGAAACAAACCCACUCCCUCUCUCUUUCCUCUCCCUCUUCUCCUCCUCCUCUCCCUCUCCUCCCUCUUCCAACUCCUUAGAUCGAUCUGAUUCCUCCACUCCCCGACUCACCACCUCCUCCUCUCCCCCAUUUCCGCCUCCAUUC